UCUAUCGUUCGUGUAUUUAUUCGUCAGACGAACGCCAAGUGCCAGUGCAUGCCAGACCCCGUGCUAGGUGGAGGAACAGCAGUGAAUGAGGCAGACACAGUGCUUCAGUAGAUAAACCAGAUUAAGAAGAUGAUGAAUGUGCUGUAAACGCAAUUGGGAAAUAAAUCAAAUGAGACAGACAGUAAGUGGUGGGCGUAGCGGCUAGCAAAGUUCUCUCGGAGGAAGUGGCAUUUUGCCUGAGACUUGACAGGUGACUACAAGAUAUUGAAUGUAGUUCCCUCUGCUAUAUAGAAGCAACUUGUUGUAUUUUAAUUAGGACCCCAGGGAAAGAAGCAGAAGAAGAGGAACAUGGUUCCUCAGUCUGUGAUCUUGAAUGAAGAGCAUGAGUGGCAUUAUGAUGGGACUUUUACAUACCAGCAGUUUGGAGUCGACCAGAACGAGGAGGCACAAGGAGCUUUGGCACUAAAUUUGGGUGACCUUGGGUAAGCUGAACCAUCGCUAAGGCUCAGCUUUAUAAUGAAUAAAGUAGGAAUAUCACCACUUAUUCUAGAACAAAUGUUCCCAAACAUCAAAUAGGUGUUAAAAUGCAGAUGCCAGCCACCCCCAUCUUAGAGUUCGAAUAAGUAGUUGGGCCAGAGAUAUUUACUGUUCAUGGAAGAGGCAAGGGCUGUAUGCCAAGGCCAAAAGCUGGUGGCUGAUGUGACAUGUGUCACUAUUUUGCCAAAGCAUUUCAGAGCUGGUGCAUGACCAUCCCAGCUCCCUUUUCCCUUCAACCCUGCAAGCCACGUGCUCCAGUUUUAAACCUACAAGAUGGAAGCAUCUUGGGUCCCUGCAUCAUUGCUUGGGGGUGAGGGGGGAGUGCCACAGAUUGCCACGAGACCCAUGGGAGACUCUGAAUAAAACAUAAACUUUUA